GCUGGAGGUAUCAGAAGUGCGAAUGCUGACAUAAGUAACGAUAAAGCGGGUGAAAAGCCCGCUCGCCGGAAGACCAAGGGUUCCUGUCCAACGUUAAUCGGGGCAGGGUGAGUCGACCCCUAAGGCGAGGCCGAAAGGCGUAGUCGAUGGGAAACAGGUUAAUAUUCCUGUACUUGGUGUUACUGCGAAGGGGGGACGGAGAAGGCUAUGUUGGCCGGGCGACGGUUGUCCCGGUUUAAGCGUGUAGGCUGGUUUUCCAGGCAAAUCCGGAAAAUCAAGGCUGAGGCGUGAUGACGAGGCACUACGGUGCUGAAGCGACAAAUGCCCUGCUUCCAGGAAAAGCCUCUAAGCAUCAGGUAACAUCAAAUCGUACCCCAAACCGACACAGGUGGUCAGGUAGAGAAUACCAAGGCGCUUGAGAGAACUCGGGUGAAGGAACUAGGCAAAAUGGUGCCGUAACUUCGGGAGAAGGCACGCUGAUAUGUAGGUGAAGCGACUUGCUCGUGGAGCUGAAAUCAGUCGAAGAUACCAGCUGGCUGCAACUGUUUAUUAAAAACACAGCACUGUGCAAACACGAAAGUGGACGUAUACGGUGUGACGCCUGCCCGGUGCCGGAAGGUUAAUUGAUGGGGUUAGCGGUAACGCGAAGCUCUUGAUCGAAGCCCCGGUAAACGGCGGCCGUAACUAUAACGGUCCUAAGGUAGCGAAAUUCCUUGUCGGGUAAGUUCCGACCUGCACGAAUGGCGUAAUGAUGGCCAGGCUGUCUCCACCCGAGACUCAGUGAAAUUGAACUCGCUGUGAAGAUGCAGUGUACCCGCGGCAAGACGGAAAGACCCCGUGAACCUUUACUAUAGCUUGACACUGAACAUUGAGCCUUGAUGUGUAGGAUAGGUGGGAGGCUUUGAAGUGUGGACGCCAGUCUGCAUGGAGCCGACCUUGAAAUACCACCCUUUAAUGUUUGAUGUUCUAACGUGGGCCCCUUACCGGGGUUGCGGACAGUGUCUGGUGGGUAGUUUGACUGGGGCGGUCUCCUCCUAAAGAGUAACGGAGGAGCACGAAGGUUGGCUAAUCCUGGUCGGACAUCAGGAGGUUAGUGCAAUGGCAUAAGCCAGCUUGACUGCGAGCGUGACGGCGCGAGCAGGUGCGAAAGCAGGUCAUAGUGAUCCGGUGGUUCUGAAUGGAAGGGCCAUCGCUCAACGGAUAAAAGGUACUCCGGGGAUAACAGGCUGAUACCGCCCAAGAGUUCAUAUCGACGGCGGUGUUUGGCACCUCGAUGUCGGCUCAUCACAUCCUGGGGCUGAAGUAGGUCCCAAGGGUAUGGCUGUUCGCCAUUUAAAGUGGUACGCGAGCUGGGUUUAGAACGUCGUGAGACAGUUCGGUCCCUAUCUGCCGUGGGCGCUGGAGAACUGAGGGGGGCUGCUCCUAGUACGAGAGGACCGGAGUGGACGCAUCACUGGUGUUCGGGUUGUCAUGCCAAUGGCACUGCCCGGUAGCUAAAUGCGGAAGAGAUAAGUGCUGAAAGCAUCUAAGCACGAAACUUGCCCCGAGAUGAGUUCUCCCUGACUCCUUGAGAGUCCUGAAGGAACGUUGAAGACGACGACGUUGAUAGGCCGGGUGUGUAAGCGCAGCGAUGCGUUGAGCUAACCGGUACUAAUGAACCGUGAGGCUUAACCU
rnacentral:rRNA from 1 species